UACGUAGGGGGCAAGCGUUGUCCGGAAUUAUUGGGCGUAAAGAGCUCGUAGGCGGCUUGUCGCGUCGGAUGUGAAAGCCCCGGGGCUUAACUCCGGGUCUGCAUUCGAUACGGGCAGGCUAGAGUUCGGUAGGGGAGAUCGGAAUUCCCGGUGUAGCAGUGAAAUGCGCAGAUAUCAGGAGGAACACCGGUGGCGAAGGCGGGUCUCUGGGCCGAUACUGACGCUGAGGAGCGAAAGCGUGGGGAGCGAACAGG
rnacentral:rRNA from 1 species